CAUGCGAGUUUUUGUAGUAAUACAAGGCAUACGGCUCAGUAACACGUAGUCAACCUACCCUAUGGACGAGGAUAAUCUCGGGAAACUGAGCAUAAUACUCGAUAGAUCAUAAUGCCUGGAAUGGUUUAUGGUUGAAAUGAUUCGUUCGCCAUAGGAUGGGACUGCGGCCUAUCAGCUUGUUGGUGGGGUAAUGGCCCACCAAGGCGAUUACAGGUACGGGCUCUGAGAGGAGAAGCCCGGAGAUGGGUACUGAGACACGGACCCAGGCCCUAUGGGGCGCAGCAGGCGAGAAAACUUUGCAAUGUGCGAAAGCACGACAAGGUUAGUCCGAGUGAUUUCUGCUAAAGAAAUCUUUUGCAAGUCGUAAAACCACUAGUGAAUAAGGGGUGGGCAAGUUCUGGUGUCAGCCGCCGCGGUAAAACCAGCACCUCAAGUGGUCAGGAGGAUUAUUGGGCCUAAAGCAUCCGUAGCCGGCUCUGUUAGUUUUCGGUUAAAUCCAUGCGCUCAACGUAUGGGCUGCCGAGAAUACUGCAUAGCUAGGGAGUGGGAGAGGUAGACGGUACUCGGUAGGAAGGGGUAAAAUCCUUUGAUCUAUUGAUGACCACCUGUGGCGAAGGCGGUCUACCAGAACACGUCCGACGGUGAGGGAUGAAAGCUGGGGGAGCAAACCGGAUUAGAUACCCGGGUAGUCCCAGCUGUAAACCAUGCAAACUCAGUGAUGCAUUGGCUUGUGGCCAAUGCAGUGCUGCAGGGAAGCCGUUAAGUUUGCCGCCUGGGAAGUACGUACGCAAGUAUGAAACUUAAAGGAAUUGGCGGGGGAGCUCCACAAGGGGUGAAGCCUGCGGUUCAAUUGGAG
rnacentral:rRNA from 1 species